rnacentral:rRNA from 1 species
UACGGGGGGGGGCAAGCGUUGUUCGGAAUUACUGGGCGUAAAGGGCGCGUAGGCGGCCCGCUAAGUCGAACGUGAAAUCCCUGGGCUCAACCCAGGAACUGCGUCCGAUACUGGCAGGCUUGAAUCCGGGAGAGGGAUGUGGAAUUCCAGGUGUAGCGGUGAAAUGCGUAGAUAUCUGGAGGAACACCGGUGGCGAAGGCGGCAUCCUGGACCGGUAUUGACGCUGAUGCGCGAAAGCCAGGGGAGCAAACGGG